CAAGGUGGGAGCUUUCCAGAAAAGGGUUGGUGCUUUCGGGGACUCAGACACAGGGCCUGCAUUUUGUUGUCAGCUCUUGUCGUGAGAUGUUGGGUUAAGUCCCGUAAAGAGCGCAACCCUUGUCCUUAGUUACCAGCACCUCGGGUGGGCACUCUAAGGAGACUUCCGGUGACAAACCGGAGGAAGGUGGGGAUGACGUCAAGUCAUCAUGGCCCUUACGGCCAGGGCUACACACGUGCUACAAUGGUCGGUACAAAGGGUUGCCAAGCCGCGAGGUGGAGCUAAUCCCAUAAAACCGAUCGUAGUCCGGAUCGCAGUCUGCAACUCGACUGCGUGAAGUCGGAAUCGCUAGUAAUCGUGAAUCAGAAUGUCACGGUGAAUACGUUCCCGGGCCUUGUACACACCGCCCGUCACACCAUGGGAGUGGGUUGCUCCAGAAGUAGCUAGUCUAACCGCA
rnacentral:rRNA from 1 species